UGUAUAUUCAAAAACUCCACAUUAAACUAAUACUCAAAGUAUAAAAGCUCUAUCUGUAAAAUUAUAAUAGGAUUGUGACUGUUUGAACAUUGAAAAAAAUAUCUGAUUUUGUUGUUUAUUUGCUUCAUCCAGCUAUUGAAUCGAUUUUGUCGAUAUUUUUAGAUUUAAAAUUUAACUUGCACUUGUAUUUUACCACUGUAUCUACAUACUUAUAUAAUAUUUAUAUUGCUACAACAUACAUUUCGUCAAAAAAGUACCUGAAAUGGAAUGAAAUGGAAACUAAUUUUUUACUUCUUUGUUGUUUUUAGAUUGGCCCAACUGUUGUCAAUUUUGACGCGGAGUUUGAGUUGCAUUUGUUAUUUAGAUUAAAUACAGUGCUGCUUAUUAGUUAUAUGAUAUCUUGUGUGUACUGCGAAUUUCAUAACGGACAAACAGAUCGAACAAAGAGUUCGUCUUAAACUUCGCAUCACCAAUGAAAUGUCGUGUUCGAAAUCACAAAAAUGUUACAGAAGGCUUACAAUGAAUCGACUUUAUAAAAAUAUGUGCUCAUAAAUGAUACAAAGCGUUCAAUAACGGGCGAGAUAAAAUGGACGAUUUAAUAUGCCUCGCUCUGGCAGGCCGUCAACGUCUGUAACUAAAGUUAACAUCACAAAAGUUAAGGAAAUUGUAACAAAAACCUCAUUACAGUUUGAGAGAGAUAGCCACCGAACUCUCUGAUGUCUCACGAAUUGAUCCGUACCAUUUUAAAUAAUCACGAGCUAUGAGCACACUUAUAAGUCGUCGUGGCCUAAAGGAUAAGACGUCCGGUGCAUUCGUGUUGAGCGAUGCAUCGGUGUUCGAAUCCCAGGCGGGUACCAAUUUUUUUAAUGAAAUACGUACUCAGCAAAUGUUCACGAUUGACUUCCACGGUGAAGGAAUAACAUCGUAUAAUCAAAAUCAAACUCGCAAAAAUUAUAAUGUGCGUAAUUACCUUCGAUCAACAAUAGUAACUAGAUUUCGGGUCGGUGCAUAAAAUCCGUCUCGUCAAAUAACAGCGCACUUUAAAUGUGAGCUCUUAUUUUGUUUAGUUCACUUCAAACACAGCCAAUGUCAACCCGUCUCACAAUACCGCAGUGUGUAUUCAAAAGUUGCAAAAAUAAGGCCCGAAAAAGCAAUUUAACGGCCGGAAUAUCUUACUUUCGCUUUCCUAGCAAUCACGUGUGCUGAAUGGAUCUCGAUUGUCGCCAGAGAAACAAGAGAUGACUUUUAUAAGCCAGCUAAUAUCUCCGUUUAUUGACACUGGACAUCUUUGCCUUCCGUGCUCACGGCUACUGAAACGUGGCCGAAACAUUGUAAUAAAAAUACCACGCUUGAAACCGUUUAAA